rnacentral:rRNA from 1 species
AGAGUUUGAUCCUGGCUCAGGAUGAACGCUGGCGGUAUGCUUAACACAUGCAAGUCGAACGGAGGUUUUCGGACCUUAGUGGCGGACGGGUGAGUAACGCGUGAGAAUCUGCCUACGGAUUGGGGACAACGUCGGGAAACUGACGCUAAUACCGAAUGUGCCGCGAGGUGAAAGAUUAAUUGUCCGUAGAUGAGCUCGCGUCUGAUUAGCUAGUUGGUGGGGUAAGGGCCUACCAAGGCGACGAUCAGUAACUGGUCUGAGAGGAUGACCAGUCACACUGGGACUGAGACACGGCCCAGACUCCUACGGGAGGCAGCAGUGGGGAAUUUUCCGCAAUGGGCGCAAGCCUGACGGAGCAAUACCGCGUGCGGGAGGAAGGUUUUUGGACUGUAAACCGCUUUUCUCAGGGAAGAUAAUGACGGUACCUGAGGAAUCAGCAUCGGCUAACUCCGUGCCAGCAGCCGCGGUAAUACGGGGGAUGCAAGCGUUAUCCGGAAUUAUUGGGCGUAAAGCGUUCGUAGGCGGUGAAACAAGUCUUUUGUCAAAGGAUGGGGCUCAACCCCAUAAAGGCAGAGGAAACUGUUUGACUAGAGUGCGGUAGGGGUGACAGGAAUUCCCAGUGUAGCGGUGAAAUGCGUAGAUAUUGGGAAGAACACCAGCGGCGAAAGCGUGUCACUGGGCCGAGACUGACGCUGAGGGACGAAAGCUAGGGGAGCGAAAGGGAUUAGAUACCCCUGUAGUCCUAGCUGUAAACGAUGAGAACUAGGUGUUGCGCGUAUCGACCCGCGCGGUGCCGUAGCUAACGCGUUAAGUUCUCCGCCUGGGGAGUACGCACGCAAGUGUGAAACUCAAAGGAAUUGACGGGGGCCCGCACAAGCGGUGGAGUAUGUGGUUUAAUUCGAUGCAACGCGAAGAACCUUACCAGGGCUUGACAUCCCUCGGACCUGACCGAGAGGUUGGGGUGCCUUCGGGAGCGAGGAGACAGGUGGUGCAUGGCUGUCGUCAGCUCGUGUCGUGAGAUGUUGGGUUAAGUCCCGCAACGAGCGCAACCCACGUUUUUAGUUGCCAGCAUUCAGUUGGGCACUCUAGAGAGACUGCCGGUGACAAACCGGAGGAAGGUGUGGAUGACGUCAAGUCAGCAUGCCCCUUACGUCCUGGGCUACACACGUACUACAAUGCUGUGGACAGAGAGCAGCAAGUCGGCGACGGCAAGCAAAUCUCGUAAACCACGGCACAGUUCAGAUUGCAGCCUGCAACUCGCCUGCAUGAAGGUGGAAUCGCUAGUAAUCGCCGGUCAGCAUACGGCGGUGAAUACGUUCCCGGGCCUUGUACACACCGCCCGUCACACCAUGGGAGUUGGUCACGCCCGAAGUGGUUACCCUAACCUUUUAGGAGGGGGACCCCUAAGGCAGGGCUGAUGACUGGGGUGAAGUCGUAACAAGGUA